UGAGUUUCUUUUUAAAUGUCAUCUAUGCAAGCGUUUUACUGUCACUUCUUUCAUUACGUUUUUGUUCAAUUUAAAAAAGAUAAGCAGUAAAUAAAAGCAGCUAAGCGGAAGUGAAAAUGAGUGAGUGCAAUUCAGAAGCUUAUUGGAUUGGCGAUUUUCCGUUUGUAGGUAUGACCCUUUGCCACAAAGUACACCUUAUCCCGUCUGAGGCAGGCUAAAUACAAUAAAUGCUGGUGGAAAACAACGCAAACAGGCAAACGAAUAUGAGAUGCCACCGAUCCAACGAAGGCAGUGUUAUGACAACACUCGAGAGCAGAAAUGCGGUUAAAUCACUCUUACACCUUCCAUUCGUGAUUCUACUUUCGUUUUGCUUUUCCAUAUCUGUUUCAUCGUUCUGUUUUUGUAUUUUUCGCACAUCAACGGCACAUUGAAUAACAACAAUAACAGUAUCAAGCAAAUAAUUUAAUGCAAUGAAAGCUGCAUAAAGAAGCAGAGGUCCAAAUGCGAGUCAAGGCGAUGAAGUAAAUAGGUGUUAAAGAGAACGGAAAUAAAAAUGUGAAAUGUGCGGAGUGAAGCUGCACAGUGGUUCCUGAAAUGUAAAUUCGUAAGCAAAAAUAUUUUAUGAUAUUUACAAUACAUUUUCGUUAGAAAAAAUAAAAGGUUCAAUAAACCUGCGUCGGAGUAUGUCUCCGCCUCAAA